UUUUAUUAUUAUUAAUAUAUCAUUAAAAUGUCGUUGGGUGCUAAUAAUAUCAUUAAGAAUGCAGAAAAAUCAAAUCAAAAUAUAAGUUAUUCCAGAAUUAGGAUAGUACCUAGAGUACCUUUGAAGGUAGAAAGUGGAAUGUCGUCGAGCAACACCUCAGCGCAAUCUACAGUGUUAGGAUCAUUGGAAUAAGGCGACCAGUUCGGACUAAGCCAACGGACUAAGACAUAUAUCUGUACCUCAGGACCACAUCAGUCCAUUUUUUACAAUUUUCAGGUUAUUAAUUUCUUCACGAGAACAAAUUAAAUCAACUUCUUCUCCUAUUGAUGCUAGGUUGCUUCAUUCUCAAUAGAAUACAAUUUUUAUAGUGGCAAAUUUGGGUUCUUCAUGUUUCAUAAGGAACAAUUUUUGAGUUAGAUCCCUUCAGAUGGGCUAAGUCAUAUGGAAGCCAAAAAUAUCAGUAAAAAGAUUAAAUUUUUGAGAGAGCUUUUCAAAUAUUUGAUACACAGGACUCCAUUUCAAGCAAAAUUUGUUACGUGUUAGUUAAUUUAGUGAAGGAAAGGGGUAAAGGAAACAUCACCCAUCCUAUUAUUUUUCCACCCCUGGAAGAUGAGCCUAUAAUGUCAUCAUUUGAUGAAAUCCCAUCUGUGGAAACCAAUGCCGCAUUAUCCAGCGUGAAUGAUUCAAUUCCGAGUACAUCAGAGCAACAAAAUUAUAAUAUUUCACCAAUCCGAAGCGAAGAAUUUGUUUUUGACGACUCUCAUAAAGAUUCAAAUGGCUGCCAGAAGUAAUAAUUCUUCUAAAUUCGUUUCACUCCUACCUCCUAAUGGACCAUCGAAUUCGUCUAGUACCAUCACUACCAGCAGUAGGUGUUGCGAAAUACAUCAGUUUCAUAAAAAAUGUUUGAGCACGGAGUCGGCCAAUAUAUCGCGACGUCCACAAUGCUCGGAGGAAAUUGGUACAAAUUUGGUUGAAGGAGACUGCACAAUUUGCUUAGAUCCAUUAAAAAACGAAAUAUACAUAACCAACUGCAGACACUCCUUCCACCGUCAAUGUAUUUCGAAAUGGGCAAGUCAAAAUGAGACUUAAAUAUAUAUUUUUUUUUCAGAAUGGAUACGAGUAAUCUUGAAAAAUGCAUUAUUUGUUGUCAAGAAAUUGACGAAACAGAUGUAUUCGUUGGGAAAUGCUUACAUAAGUUCCACAAAAAAUGUUUGAGCACGGAGUCGGCCAAUAUCUCGAGAUGUCCACAAUGCUCGGAGGAAAUUGGAACAAAUUUGGUGGAAGGAGACUGCACAAUUGGCUUAGAGCCAUUAAAAAACGAAAUAUAAUGGGUGAUUUUUUAGCUGGUUUGGUUUUGGCAACACUGGUUUUGACAGCUGACGUGUGUUUAGUACCUUGUGUCACUGUCAAACAGCUUCAGUUUGGUUUGCAAUUUAACCAUGGAUCGUCUUACAAAUGAACAACGCUUGCAAAUUAUUGAAUUUUACUAUCAAAAUUCGUGCUCGGUUAGAAAUGUUCAUCGCGCGCUGCUUCCAUUUUAUGGUCGGCAUUCUCGACCUUCUGAGCAGUCUAUUCGGAAGAUUGUGACCAAAUUUCGCACCAAAUUCACUUUGUUGGACAUUAAACCACCAACACGUUUACGUACUGUGCGUAGUGAAGAAAAUAUUGCGGCCGUAUCAGCUAGUGUGACAGAAGACCGCGAAAUGUCGAUUCGGCGCCGUUCCCAGCAGUUAGGCCUUUGUUACAGCACUACGUGGAAAAUUUUGCGGAAGGAUUUGGGCGUAAAGCCUUUUAAGAUACAGCUGGUGCAAGAACUAAAGCCAGCCGACCUACCACAACGCCGAAUUUUUGGUGAAUGGGCUCUUGGAAAGCUGGCCGAGGAUCCG